rnacentral:rRNA from 1 species
GACGAACGCUGGCGGCGUGCUUAACACAUGCAAGUCGAACGGAAAGGCCCUGCUUUUGUGGGGUGCUCGAGUGGCGAACGGGUGAGUAACACGUGAGUAACCUGCCCUUGCCUUUGGGAUAACUUCAGGAAACUGGGGCUAAUACCGGAUAGGAGCUCCUGCUGCAUGGUGGGGGUUGGAAAGUUUCGGCGGUUGGGGAUGGACUCGCGGCUUAUCAGCUUGUUGGUGGGGUAGUGGCUUACCAAGGCUUUGACGGGUAGCCGGCCUGAGAGGGUGACCGGCCACAUUGGGACUGAGAUACGGCCCAGACUCCUACGGGAGGCAGCAGUGGGGAAUAUUGCACAAUGGGCGGAAGCCUGAUGCAGCAACGCCGCGUGCGGGAUGACGGCCUUCGGGUUGUAAACCGCUUUCGCCUGUGACGAAGCGUGAGUGACGGUAAUGGGUAAAGAAGCACCGACUAACUACGUG